GCCAGCAUGGCAUAAUGGUUUGAGCAUUCGACUACAACUCUGGAGACCGGGGUUCAAUUCCUAUUUCAGCCA